GUUCACGUGAUGACUGUUUUUCAGUUCAACUGCUGAAUGAUUCACCAAUGAACUAAAUCUAACACUCUGAUCAGA